rnacentral:rRNA from 1 species
GAUGAACGCUGGCGGCGUGCCUAAUACAUGCAAGUCGAGCGAAGAGACGAGGAGCUUGCUCCUCUGACGUUAGCGGCGGACGGGUGAGUAACACGUGGAUAACCUACCUAUAAGACUGGGAUAACUUCGGGAAACCGGAGCUAAUACCGGAUAAUAUAUUGAACCGCAUGGUUCAAUAGUGAAAGACGGUUUUGCUGUCACUUAUAGAUGGAUCCGCGCCGCAUUAGCUAGUUGGUAAGGUAACGGCUUACCAAGGCAACGAUGCGUAGCCGACCUGAGAUGGUGACUGGCCACACUGGCACUGAGACGCCGCCCAGACUCCUACGGGAGGCAGCAGUAGGCAAUCUUCCGGAAUGGGCGAACGCCUGACGGAGCAACGCCGCGUGAGUGAUGAAGGUCUUCGGAUCGUACAACUCUGUUAUUACGGAAGAACAAAUGUGUCAGUAACUAUGCACGUCUUGACGGUACCUAAUCAGAAAGCCACGGCUAACUACGUG